GACAGAAGGGAGCUUGCUCCCGGAUGUUAGCGGCGGACGGGUGAGUAACACGUGGGUAACCUGCCUGUAAGACUGGGAUAACUCCGGGAAACCGGAGCUAAUACCGGAUAGUUCCUUGAACCGCAUGGUUCAAGGAUGAAAGACGGUUUCGGCUGUCACUUACAGAUGGACCCGCGGCGCAUUAGCUAGUUGGUGRGGUAAUGGCUCACCAAGGCGACGAUGCGUAGCCGACCUGAGAGGGUGAUCGGCCACACUGGGACUGAGACACGGCCCAGACUCCUACGGGAGGCAGCAGUAGGGAAUCUUCCGCAAUGGACGAAAGUCUGACGGAGCAACGCCGCGUGAGUGAUGAAGGUUUUCGGAUCGUAAAGCUCUGUUGUUAGGGAAGAACAAGUGCGAGAGUAACUGCUCGCACCUUGACGGUACCUAACCAGAAAGCCACGGCUAACUACGUGCCAGCAGCCGCGGUAAUACGUAGGUGGCAAGCGUUGUCCGGAAUUAUUGGGCGUAAAGGGCUCGCAGGCGGUUUCUUAAGUCUGAUGUGAAAGCCCCCGGCUCAACCGGGGAGGGUCAUUGGAAACUGGGAAACUUGAGUGCAGAAGAGGAGAGUGGAAUUCCACGUGUAGCGGUGAAAUGCGUAGAGAUGUGGAGGAACACCAGUGGCGAAGGCGACUCUCUGGUCUGUAACUGACGCUGAGGAGCGAAAGCGUGGGGAGCGAACAGGAUUAGAUACCCUGGUAGUCCACGCCGUAAACGAUGAGUGCUAAGUGUUAGGGGGUUUCCGCCCCUUAGUGCUGCAGCUAACGCAUUAAGCACUCCGCCUGGGGAGUACGGUCGCAAGACUGAAACUCAAAGGAAUUGACGGGGGCCCGCACAAGCGGUGGAGCAUGUGGUUUAAUUCGAAGCAACGCGAAGAAACCUUACCRGGUCUUGACAUCCUCUGACAACCCUAGAGAUAGGGCUUUCCCUUCGGGGACAGAGUGACAGGGUGGUGCAUGGUUGUCGUCAGCUCGUGUCGUGAGAUGGUGGGGUUAAAGUUCCCCGCAAACGGAGCGCAACCCAUGAAUCUUARGUUGGCCAGCAUUCCAGUUUUGGGCAMCYUCUWWGA
rnacentral:rRNA from 1 species